CCUACGUGCGGCAGCAGUGAGGAAUAUUGGUCCAUGGCCGGGAGGCUGAACCAGCCAAGUCGCGUGAGGGCAGACGGCCCUACGGGGUGUAAACCUCUUUUGUCAGGGACCAACGUGCCGGUCGGGACCUACUGUGAGAUUCCCUGCAACAAAAGCAUCGUCUAACUCCUUGCGCUCACCCGCGGUAAUCCGGGGGAUGCGAGCGUUACCCGGUUUUAUUGGGUUAAAGGGGUGCGCAGGCGGAGGCAAACGUCAGCGGUAAAAUCGCGGGGCAAACCCCCGCUACGCCGUUGAAACUGUGUCGAUUGAGUGCGCGAAGGGUAGGAGGAAUGCGUGGUGUAGCGGUGAAAGGUAUAGAUAGCACGCAGAACUCCGAGCGCGAAGGCAGCCUACGGGCGCGCAACUGACGCUCAUGCACGAAAGCGUGGGUAUCGAACAGGAUUAGAUACCCGGGUAGUC
rnacentral:rRNA from 1 species